rnacentral:lncRNA from 1 species
CUAAUCAGCUCAUUACCCCUUUAGAAAUAAAGAUAAUCUAGCCUAAAUUGCUGCCCUUAGAUCAAGCCAUGUUUCCAUAUCCGGCACAACGUUCAUCUUCAAUUCAGCUCUUGCCAUAUUUGUAAAAGCGCGUCCCUGGAUCAUGAUAUCUGAGUACAAGGAUCACUGAGUGUCUAAGUGUUGAGAGUUGUGUCGUAUGUUGUGUGUGUUCUUCCGAAUGAGGAAGAGUGGUAUUUAUACAUGUGUAGGUAACUUAUUUUAGGUAGAUAGACCACUAAUCAGCUCAUUACCCCUUUAGAAAUAAAGAUAAUCUAGCCUA